AUUGAACGCUGGCGGCAGGCUUAACACAUGCAAGUCGAGCGGAGAUGAGGUGCUUGCACCUUAUCUUAGCGGCGGACGGGUGAGUAAUGCUUAGGAAUCUGCCAUUUAGUGGGGGACAACAUUCCGAAAGGAAUGCUAAUACCGCAUACGUCCUACGGGAGAAAGCAGGGGAUCUUCGGACCUUGCGCUAAAUGAUGAGCCUAAGUCGGAUUAGCUAGUUGGUGGGGUAAAGGCCUACAAGGCGACGAUCUGUAGCGGGUCUGAGAGGAUGAUCCGCCACACUGGGACCGAGACACGGCCCAGACUCCUACGGGAGGCAGCAGUGGGGAAUAUUGGACAAUGGGGGGAACCCUGAUCCAGCCAUGCCGCGUGUGUGAAGAAGGCCUUUUGGUUGUAAAGCACUUUAAGCGAGGAGGAGGCUACCUAGAUUAAUACUCUGGGAUAGUGGACGUUACUCGCAGAAUAAGCACCGGCUAACUCUGUGCCAGCCGCCGCCGUAAAAC
rnacentral:rRNA from 1 species